UACGUAGGGUGCGAGCGUUGUCCGGAAUUAUUGGGCGUAAAGGGCUCGUAGGCGGUUUGUCGCGUCGGGAGUGAAAACCCAGGGCUUAACCCUGGGCUGGCUUCCGAUACGGGCAGACUAGAGGUAUGCAGGGGAGAACGGAAUUCCUGGUGUAGCGGUGAAAUGCGCAGAUAUCAGGAGGAACACCGGUGGCGAAGGCGGUUCUCUGGGCAUUACCUGACGCUGAGGAGCGAAAGCGUGGGGAUCAAACAGG
rnacentral:rRNA from 1 species